UUCCAGAACUUCCUUGACUAAUUCCUGGGCACUGACAUUUUAGAUACAGUCCCUGGGCCACCAUCAGUGCCUGUGUCCAGUGGGCUGCCCCUACAUUGCAUCUUCCUCCUGCAUCAUGCAUCCUCACCAGCAACAGCCUCCAGCACCCCAUUCCCAGCCAUAGAGGUGACACAAUGUUGAUUUUAAAAAUACUCUUCAGUGGAUGGAACUUGGAGCUGGUAAGUGAAUGUUUGAUGCAGUAAUUAUAAAUUGCCUGAUAACAAGAUAGUCACACUUUAGUGCUGUAUUUUUAAGCACAGUGGCUAAUAAGAAUCUGCUAUUCUUCAUGUAUUUUUACUCCUAUUUGCUGCAGUUCUUCCUUUCACACACUAUUUCAGGGACACUCAGAAACCUUUCCCAUUUUUGUGCCAAGGUCUCUAAAUAGGACAAGUAAUUAAGCAAGACUGUGAAAACUGCUUGGAUUUUCCCUAUUAGCUGUUAUGCAGACAGAAUUACAUUCUGUCCUGGAAACUGAAAAA